UAAUUUUAUGGAUUUUUUUUAAUGAAAUAUAAUUAUGUGGAGAACUUUUAGAGGGACAAAUUCUUCAUUUUAUUUUUAAAAUUAUAUUUUAUUUAUUUUUAUAGGAACUAGCGCUUCCUCUUCUUCCUUUCCGUGUAAUGUUCUUCAUCUUCUUCUUUUUUCUUUUUUGGACCACUUUCAGGGAGAGGAAAAAAGUGUCCACCUACAUUAUCGAUUCAUCCUCUUCUUUUUUUUUUUUUGGUUCUUUCCGAUUUCAGCGAGGAAAAAAGGGUGUGUCCUCCAUUGUGGCUUCCCAAUCUUCUUCUAUUUUCAGUUUUGUGCGAUUUUAGGGAGAAACAAUGGGUCUCGACCUCCAUUAUUGGCGGCUCUUCCAUUUGUCCUUCUCAGGGGUGGCUUAACUCGGCGGCAUUCUCACACAUCUAAGGGUGUUGACUCGCUUCAGUCACAACUUCAUUUGUCUGAAGCGAUUGUGGCGCAUUUGUUGUUGCUGUUGCUAAUCAUAUUAUUCAUGAGAGCAUUAGUAAUAUGUCUACCCAACUUAACAUUGCCAUUUAUCAUGAUGAACUUGUUGUAUGCCUAUUCAAGCAUGUUAUGAAGAAGCUGGAGGGGGUUAUCAAACUGAUGAUGAGAAGCCUACACGGUUGACAAAGAAGAAGCAAAUGAAUAUGUAGUUUUUUGAUGAUCUUCACAUGUUUUUUUCUUCUUUUUUUAGUUGGACAAUUCACUUUUACAAUUUCUUUGUGUGUCAUGAUACUAGUAUGUUAACUUUUAACAUUUUGAAAGUCAUGUAUAUAUUAAGUAUGUAGUUUUCAUAUAAUUUUGAGAUUAUAUGAGUA